AACGUAGGAGACAAACGUUAUCCGGAGUUACUGGGCGUAAAGGGCGUGUAGGUGGUUGCGUAAGUCUGGCGUGAAAUUUUUCGGCUUAACCGGGAAAGGUCGUCGGAUACUGCGUAGCUAGAGGACGGUAGAGGCGUGUGGAAUUCCGGGUGUAGUGGUGAAAUGCGUAGAGAUCCGGAGGAACACCAGUGGCGAAGGCGACACGCUGGGCCGUACCUGACACUGAUGCGCGACAGCAUGGGGAGCAAACAGG
rnacentral:rRNA from 1 species